GGGGGUGGUCGCAGAGACCAGAGAGAAGCGACUGUUUACUAAAAACACAGGUCCGUGCGAAGACGUAAGUCGAUGUAUACGGACUGACGCCUGCCCGGUGCUGGAAGGUUAAGAGGACCGGUUAGCCGCAAGGCGAAGCUGAGAAUUUAAGCCCCAGUAAACGGCGGUGGUAACUAUAACCAUCCUAAGGUAGCGAAAUUCCUUGUCGGGUAAGUUCCGACCUGCACGAAUGGCGUAACGACUUCUCUGCUGUCUCGACCACAGACUCGGCGAAAUUGCAUUACGAGUAAAGAUGCUCGUUACGCGCGGCAGGACGAAAAGACCCCGGGACCUUUACUAUAGCUUGGUAUUGGCGUUCGAUUCGGUUUGUGUAGGAUAGGUGGGAGACUGUGAAGCAUGCACGCCAGUGUGUGUGGAGUCGUUGUUGAAAUACCACUCUGAUCGUAUUGGACGUCUAACCUCGGCCCAUGAUCUGGGUUAGGGACAGUGCCUGGUGGGUAGUUUAACUGGGGCGGUUGCCUCCCAAAGAGUAACGGAGGCGCCCAAAGGUUCCCUCAGCCUGGAUGGCAAUCAGGUGUUGAGUGCAAGUGCACAAGGGAGCUUGACUGUGAGACUGACACGUCGAGCAGGGACGAAAGUCGGGACUAGUGAUCCGGCACCGGCAAGUGGAAGCGGUGUCGCUCAACGGAUAAAAGGUACCCCGGGGAUAACAGGCUGAUCUUCCCCAAGAGUCCAUAUCGACGGGAUGGUUUGGCACCUCGAUGUCGGCUCGUCGCAUCCUGGGGCUGGAGUAGGUCCCAAGGGUUGGGCUGUUCGCCCAUUAAAGCGGCACGCGAGCUGGGUUUAGAACGUCGUGAGACAGUUCGGUCUCUAUCCGCCGCGCGCGUAAGAAACUUGCGGAAGGCUGUCCCUAGUACGAGAGGACCGGGACGGACGAACCUCUGGUGUGCCAGUUGUUCCACCAGGAGCAUCGCUGGUUAGCUACGUUCGGAAGGGAUAACCGCUGAAAGCAUCUAAGCGGGAAGCCUGUUCCAAGAUGAGGUUUCUCACCACCUUCGCGUGGUUAAGGCCCCCCACAGACCAUGGGGUUGAUAGGCCGGAACUGGAAGCGCAGCAAUGCGUGCAGGUGACCGGUACUAAUCGGCCGAGGACUUACACA
rnacentral:rRNA from 1 species